AUCUAGCUGACCAGUCCCAAAUACGACGAAACGUGCGUCCUGGAU
rnacentral:hammerhead_ribozyme from 1 species